UACGUAGGGUGCAAGCGUUGUCCGGAAUUAUUGGGCGUAAAGAGCUCGUAGGCGGCCAGUUGCGUCUGCUGUGAAAUCCCGGGGCUCAACCCCGGGCGUGCAGUGGAUACGGGCUGGCUAGAGGCAGGCAGGGGAGAACGGAAUUCCCGGUGUAGCGGUGAAAUGCGCAGAUAUCGGGAGGAACACCGGUGGCGAAGGCGGUUCUCUGGGCCGUGACUGACGCGAGGAGCGAAAGCG
rnacentral:rRNA from 1 species